UACGUAGGAUCCGAGCGUUGUCCGGAUUUACUGGGUGUAAAGGGUGCGCAGGCGGACUGGUAAGUCAGUGGUGAAAUCUCGUCGCUUAACGACGAAACUGCCUUUGAUACUAUCAGUCUUGAAUCCGGUAGAGAUCUGUGGAAUUCCGAGUGUAGCAGUGAAAUGUGUAGAUAUUCGGAAGAACACCGGUGGCGAAGGCAGCAGAUUGGGCCGGUAUUGACGCUCAGGCACGAAAGCAUGGGGAUCAAACAGG
rnacentral:rRNA from 1 species